rnacentral:miRNA from 1 species
AUAUAUAUUCCCUGGGGAUUUGUUAAACUACAGAUUCAGAUUCAGUAAGUUGGAAGUCUGAUUUUCUAACAAGUUCCCAAAUGAUGCUGUU